GGGUGCAUAGCUCAGCUGGCUAGAGCGCUACCUUGACAUGGUAGAGGUCAGGAGUUCAAGUCUCUUUGCACCCACCA
rnacentral:tRNA from 1 species